ensembl:lncRNA
UCCUGUCUGAGAUGGACCAUUUAACACAUUUGAUUUUUAUAAGUCUACUUGCCAAAACUGGACUGAGAGAUUUACUGUGAAAUCUGAUAAAGUUCUUCAUUUGGUUACCUCACAUCCAUACUCAGUCUUGAAAGAUAACGCUGUGUACACAUGAUAAGGAAUCUUUUCAUUAGUAUAAUUUUUUAUGUACAGAAACACUGGCCUAGAGAUUAGAGCAUAAAUUUUAAUCUCAGUUCUGCCAUUUACUGAUGUGAAGUGAAGUGAAAGUGAAGUCGCUCAGUCGUGUCCGACUCUUCGAAACCCCAUGGACUGCACCCUACCAGGCUCCUCUGUCCAUGGGAUUCUCCAGGCAAGAGUACUGGAGUGGGGUGCCAUCGCCUUCUCCGAGCAACAACCUAUGGGGCUGCAAAGAGUUAGACACGACUUAGUGACUGAGCACUCACGUAGGACUAGUUGGCAUAGAGCAGAGCAGGAGAAAAGAACAGGGAUCUAUCAUCGACUAACAGAAGAAGUGAGUACCAGGCCCAGAUCAUGAAGGAAAUAACCAAGGUAAUUAGAAGAUGAUAAAGUCAUGUAUCUCAGCAUUUCGGAAUUUCAAUUGAAAAUAUGAAGCAGAAGUUGAUUUUAUACAAAAAUAUCAAAGUCAGAAUGACCCUUGUGGCAAAUGAGAAUUAGUAAGUAAAGUGACAUGUGAAGCUUCCAGGAAAACACAUGCAGAAAUGUCCUAGUUACCAGAUGGGAUAAAAGCAAAAGAAAGCUGUGGAGUCUAAUAUGGAAAAAGCCUAUUUCCUGAAGGUAACAAUAUAUUAUUUACUAAUGGUUCCUUAGUAUGAACCAUUGAAAGCAUAUUUUUUUUUCUUCUUCCACAACGGUAAAGAUAAUUCCAUAUUAAACAUUACCUCUCAAAGGCAAGGUCUGUAUCUUUUUUAGAGGGGUGGAGAGCGGGGUGUGGGCCAGCGACACUGUGCAGCAUGCCAGAUCUUAGUUCCCUAAUCAGGGAUUGAAUCCAUGGUCCCUGCAGUGGAAGCCCAGAGUUUUAACCACAGGCCAGCC